rnacentral:rRNA from 1 species
CCCUUAGAUGUUCUGGGCCGCACGCGCGCUACACUGACUGGAUCAACGAGUUGUCCACCUUGGCUGAAGAGUCCGGGUAAUCUUGUAAAAUCCAGUCGUGAUGGGGAUAGAUUAUUGCAAUUAUUAAUCUUCAACGAGGAAUUCCUAGUAAGGGUGGUUCAACAGACCGCCCUGAUUACGUCCCUGCCCCUUGUACACACCGCCCGUCGCACCUACCGAUUGAAUGGUCCGGUGAAGCCUCCGGAUUGGCGCGCACCUCGGUGCCGCCGAGAAGUUGGCUAAACCUUACCAUUUAGAGGAAGGUGAANUCGUANCA